AAAAAGAUAAACACUGGGUUUCCGUGUCCAAUUUUAACUGUUCGUCUUAUAAUUUUUUUUUAUAAUUCGUAUUUUUAUUGUUGUUAGAUGAUAAAACAUAAUUAAUAUUUUAUACGUGACUUGUUUUUUAAUUUUUUUUAUAAUUUUUUCAAAUAAGACGGACGGUCAAACGUUGGGCAUGGAAAUCAGGGUUUGUCUUUUU
rnacentral:pre_miRNA from 1 species